rnacentral:rRNA from 1 species
CGGUCUACUUAACGBKUUACUCCGAAAGSHACGGCUCAAGGCCACAACCUCCAAGUAGACAUCGUUUACNGCGUGGACUACCAGGNUAUCUAAUCCUGUUUGCUCCCCACGCUUUCGCAUCUKADUDUCAGUWUCUGUCCAGGGGGCCGCCUUCCCCACCGGUAUUCCUUCAGAUCUCUACGCAUUUCACCGCUACACCUGAAAUUCUACCCCCCUCUACAGUACUCUAGCUUGCCAGUUUCAAAUGCUAUUCCGARGUUGAACCCCGGGCUUUCACAUCUGACUUAACAAACCACCUGCAUGCGCUUUACGCCCAGUAAUUCCGAUUAACGCUCGCACCCUCCGUAUUACCGCGGCUGCUGGCACGGAGUUAGCCGGUGCUUCUUCUGUCGCUAACGUCAAAUGAUGCUGCUAUUAACAACACCACCUUCCUCACGACUGAAAGUGCUUUACAACCCGAAGCCUUCUUCACACACGCGGCAUGGCUGCAUCAGGCUUGCGCCCAUUGUGCAAUAUUCCCCACUGCUGCCUCCCGUAGAGUCUGGACCGUGUCUCAGUUCCAGUGUGGCUGAUCAUCCUCUCANACCAGCUAGGGAUCGUCGCCUU